rnacentral:misc_RNA from 1 species
GAAAUGCGAUAAUUAAUGUGAAUUGCAGAAUUCAGUGAAUCAUCGAGUCUUUGAACGCACAUUGCGCCCCCUGGUAUUCCGGGGGGCAUGCCUGUCCGAGCGUCAUUGCUGCCCUCAAGCACGGCUUGUGUGUUGGGCUUCCGUCCCUGGCAACGGGGACGGGCCCAAAAGGCAGUGGCGGCACCAUGUCUGGUCCUCGAGCGUAUGGGGCUUUGUCACCCGCUCCGUAGGUCCAGCUGGCAGCUAGCCUCGCAACCAAUCUUUUUAACCAGGUUGACCUCGGAUCAGGUAGGGAUACCCGCUGAACUUAAGC